rnacentral:rRNA from 1 species
AUUGAACGCUGGCGGAAUGCUUUACACAUGCAAGUCGAACGGCAGCACGGACUUCGGUCUGGUGGCGAGUGGCGAACGGGUGAGUAAUGUAUCGGAACGUGCCCAGUCGUGGGGGAUAACGUAGUGAAGAUUACGCUAAUACCGCAUACGAUCUAUGGAUGAAAGCGGGGGAUCGCAAGACCUCGCGCGAUUGGAGCGGCCGAUAUCAGAUUAGGUAGUUGGUGGGGUAAAGGCCCACCAAGCCAACGAUCUGUAGCUGGUCUGAGAGGACGACCAGCCACAAUGGAACCGAGACCAGGUCCAGACGCCUACGGGAGGGAGAAGGGGGGAAUUUUGGACAAUGGGCGAAAGCCUGAUCCAGCCAUUCCGCGUGCAGGAUGAAGGCCCUCGGGUUGUAAACUGCUUUUGUACAGAACGAAAAGGUUUCUACUAAUACUAGGAGCUCAUGACGGUACUGUAAGAAUAAGCACCGGCUAACUACGUGCCAGCAGCCGCCGUAA